AUUGAACGCUGGCGGCAGGCUUAACACAUGCAAGUCGAGCGAGCGGCGGACGGGUGAGUAAUGUCUGGGAAAUUGCCUGAUGGAGGGGGAUAACUAUUGGAAACGGUAGCUAAUACCGCAUACCAUCAGAUGUGCCCAGAUGGGAUUGGCUAGUAGGUGGGGUAAUGGCUCACCUAGGCGACGAUCCCUAGCUGGUCUGAGAGGAUGACCAGCCACACGGCAACUGAGGCACUGUCCAAGGUCCAACGGGAGGCAGGAGUGGGGAAUGUUGCACAAUGGGCGCAAGCCUGAUGCCGCCAUGCCGCGUGUGUGAAGGAGGCCUUCGGGUUGUAAAGCACUUUCAGCGAGGAGGCGUUACUCGCAGAAGAAGCACCGGCUAACUCCGUGCCAGCCGCCGCGGUAAUAC
rnacentral:rRNA from 1 species